rnacentral:rRNA from 1 species
UACAGAGGUCUCAAGCGUUGUUCGGAUUCAUUGGGCGUAAAGGGUUCGUAGGUGGCCAACUAAGUCAUACGUGAAAUCCCUCAGCUUAACUGGGGAACUGCGUCUGAUACUGGUUGGCUUGAGUGCAGGAGAGGAACGCGGAAUUCCAGGUGUAGCGGUGAAAUGCGUAGAUAUCGUAAGGAAGACCAGUGGCGAAGGCGGGUCUCUGGACAGUUCCUGACGCUGAGGCACGAAGGUCAGGGAGCAAACGGG